rnacentral:misc_RNA from 1 species
UACGUAGGGCCCAAGCGCUAUCCGGAAUCACUGGGCGUAAAGCGUGUGUAGGCGGAGUUUUAAGUGAGAUGCGAAAUCCUGCGGCUCAACCGUAUGGACUGUAUCUCAUACUGGAAUUCUAGAGGUUGGCAGAGGCAAGUGGAAUUUGCGGUGUAGGAGUGAAAUCCGUAGAUAUCGCAAGGAACACCAAUGGCGAAGGCAGCUUGCUGGGCCACACCUGACGCUGAGACACGAAAGCGUGGGGAGCGAACAGG